AGGACGAACGCUGGCGGCGUGCCUAACACAUGCAAGUCGAACGAGAUCCAACUUGUGGCAACACUUGUGAAGAUCUAGUGGCGAACGGGUGAGUAACACGUGAGGAACCUACCCCGGAGACCGGGAUAACUGGCCGAAAGGCCAGCUAAUACCGGAUGUCCCCAUCGGAUCGCAUGGUCUGAUGUGGAAAUGGAUUCCGCUCCGGGAGGGCCUCGCGGCCCAUCAGCUCGUUGGUGAGGUAACGGCUCACCAAGGCAUCGACGGGUAGCUGGUCUGAGAGGACGACCAGCCACACUGGGACUGAGACACGGCCCAGACUCCUACGGGAGGCAGCAGUGGGGAAUCUUGCGCAAUGGGCGAAAGCCUGACGCAGCAACGCCGCGUGGGGAUGAAGGCCUUCGGGUUGUAAACCCUUUCAGCAGGGACGAAAGUUGACGGUACCUGCAGAAGAAGCCCGGCUAACUACGUGCCAGCAGCCGCGGU
rnacentral:rRNA from 1 species